GACGGAGGAUGCAAGCGUUAUCCGGAAUCAUUGGGCGUAAAGCGUACGUAGGCGGCUUAUCAAGUCUGGGGUCAAAGACCACAGCUUAACUGUGGAAAGGCCUUGGAAACUAGUGAGCUGGAGUGAGGUAGAGGUUGCGGGAAUUCCCGGUGUAGCGGUGAAAUGCGUAGAUAUCGGGAAGAACACCUGAUGCGAAAGCGCGCGACUGGGCCUUAACUGACGCUGAGGUACGAAAGCUAGGGGAGCGAAUGGG
rnacentral:rRNA from 1 species